UACAGAGGUCCCGAGCGUUGUUCGGAUUUACUGGGCGUAAAGGGUGCGUAGGUGGUCGGGUAAGUCUGAUGUGAAAUCUCGGAGCUCAACUCCGAAACUGCAUUGGAUACUAUCCGGCUUGAGAGUUGGAGGGGGGACUGGAAUUCUCGGUGUAGCAGUGAAAUGCGUAGAUAUCGGGAGGAACACCUGCGGCGAAGGCGGGUUGCUGGGCUGACACUGACGCUGAAACGCGAAAGCUAGGGGAGCGAACGGG
rnacentral:rRNA from 1 species